CAGAGGAGCCCAAACUGCCUGCAUUCAGCAGAUGUUCUCCAAAAUUGUGCUGCAGUGAUGUGGAGAUUCUCGUUUUCUUUGCAUACAAGAAGUAUUCUCGUCGAUUCAUAACUUUACAGUUAAACCACUGAUGGCAGAUGGACUUUUCUGACGACAUCUUUCAUACCUUUCUGGACCUUGACAGUGUAUUUUUCUUGGCAGUCAAUGGGUCAGUCACAAGCCAUGGGAUUGGAACGACAUGGUGCUGUCAAAGGCAGCUUAUCUGGAUCUGCUAGAUACACAGUUCAAAUUGUUGAUAUGUCCAGUACUGAGGAUUGUUCAGUCCAGCCGCUUUUGCCGACCACGGUCUCUUCACCAUCUCAUAUUACUGCAAAUCACUCAACUCUGUAACUCUGUAAUAAUCCCUCCCGCAUUAUUAUCCCUCUUGUGGGUGAUGUUCUCUCUCCUUAAGAUUCAUCUUUUUGCAAAAGGGUCCUGUAUUUUCUGCUUCAAAGCUGCCAAGGUAAUUAUUUUUAUUGCGGUGCAGAGCCCAUGGUGGAGUCACUUUACCUCCCUCUAGGGAAUAAACAUAACAACUACAGCCUGAUGGUGGUCAUCACUGUUAAAAAAGCUGCAGGUGUUACUGUUGACACUGCUGUAACCACUCAGUACUCUGAAGAAGAGGAGGAGAUCGUAGACCUGAUGCAGAUCUGCGGUCUUCUUGGCAUCAAAUGCAAGAAAAAGUAAACUGACGCAGAUGCUUCUAUGACUACAGCUUCAGUCAUGUCAUAGAAAUGAUACUUGUAUUUAUAACAAUGUCACAGACAGUUCAAGCUUUAUUGUAAAAUGCCUCUUGGUCUUUGGACUUCAUCUUUGCAUUACAUCUAUUACAUGUCUGAGUAGGUAAUAGAUGAAAACAUAAAUUUUUCUUGCUGGGUAGCUUUAAAACAACCUGCGGUAAAAUUACUAUCUGGGAAAUUAUAAAUUCUGACAACACACUGUGCAUCGGUAUUGAUACAUAAAGGGAUCUGAAUCAUAUACAGCAUUGUUUAUGCCCUGCAGGAGAAAUAAAUUUGCUGCCAUGCACUAAAUGUCUUUUUUUUAAGGAAAAUUUCAAACAUACCAACUGGCUCAGCCAAUUACCCCAAGGACUAUACAUAAAAAAUGGCCUGUGAUUGUUUUUCAGGACUCAACUCUUAUAUUACUUAAACAAGACAGUAAGCUCAUUUAAAUGAGCAUUUACCAAGAAAUUAAUAGGCCUUUUGGGUGCCCAGCCACAAGCAUGCAUGUACCAGCAAGAAGACCAAAAUCAGUCAUUCUAACAAAAUAUUGAGUGCCGCAACAAACCUAUUGAACUAAUCAGUAUGUCAGAUAUUUGGGAGUCUAUAGCCUUCAAAACCAAAUGCAAAAUGAUUGUGAACUUUGGUAUACUUAUUGGACGGCAUUACUGAUAGCAAUGUAAGCAUCUAACACUUAACCUACAGAUUAUAUUCAGGUUUUAUCAAAUUUGGAUCAGGUAAUCUUGAGACUACUUCUGUAGUUAUCAAGCUUUGAUAUAUACACAAUAUUUAUUGUAACAUUCCUGAACCCGAAGAGCCACUUUCCUAAAAGUUUAAUUGUAACCGUGCCCCAAACAUCUGGCAGUUAUUUUUUGAGGCAAGACACAAAAGGUCACUGCAAAAAAGGCUGGCUGUUCAUGGA